GAGAAGACCCAGAUUCACCCUCAUCGCUUGAAGAUCCUUCUUGGAAGGUAGCAUUCCUGUCUCUUAAUGAUAACCGGUCAAUACUAAGGGAGCUUUCACUUGUUUGGCUAUGAUACAUCCGCUGCUCCCUUGUAUAAUUUAAGCAACAUUGGGUAGUAGGUAAUGAAAAAAGAUGUUGCAUGUUGUACCUUCAAAUUUCAAAGGUGUCGCCUAUUGUACCUUCAAACAUUACUAUGACGGAUUCGCUGGGAAUUAGGGUUUGUUCUUGAACAAAGACGACGAAGUUUAGGGCUGAGCAAAUUGAUUUUCUAUUAAUAUAUUUCAAUGUAUUUUCAUGUAUUUCAUUGUAUUUAUUGUAUUCUUUUCAUUGCAAGCAACGCCUCUCAUGUUCCGAGUCACUGCUUCCAUCACUACUAGAAUCCCGGAAAUAAUCACUAUCACUUUCCUCACCUGGUCGCCUACUGUGUAAGAAAAUGCAAGUCAAUAUUAUAGUUUCUUAAAGCUACUCAUACAAAAUCUAAACAACUUCAAUUCAAGAUUCAGACACUUUCAGGAAAGAGGAGGAGGUGAGGGGGUAGUAAAGAGACACAAUGAUGCACAUUUACAACAUAAACACACUCAUAAUACAUAAUUUCAAGCUAUAGCCCACACGUCCACCCAUGUACAAGCUAAGGAGCGCAUUGAAAUAAAAAUGUCUCAGGAAAGAGCAG
rnacentral:lncRNA from 1 species